GGCUGCAGAAUUUAUAACUGUACAAAGGUAGCAUAAUAAUUUGUUUUUUAAUUAAAAACUAGUAUGAAUGAUUAAAUGAAAUAUAAACUGUUUCAAUUAAAUAAAAUUUUAAAUUUUUAUUUAAGUAAAAAAACUUAAAUAAAUUUAAAAGACGACAAGACCCUAUAGAAUUUUAUUUAUUAUUUAAAAAUAAAAUCUAAUUAAUUUAUUAAAAUUUAAUUAAUAAAUUUAAUUGGGGUAAUUUAAAAAUUAUAAAAAUUUUUUUUAUAUAAAACAUUAAUUAAUGAUUAUAAAAUCUUAAAUUUUAAAUUAUUAAAAUUAAUUACCUUAGGGAUAACAGCAUAAUUUUUUUUAAAAGACCUUAUU
rnacentral:rRNA from 1 species